rfam:Mus musculus chromosome 10, GRC primary reference assembly.
CUAUCUGUCUGUGGCAUCUGUCACCCCAUUGAUCACUGUGGUUGAAUCAGUUGAUCUGGAUGAUUAGGUAGGUAUCCACUUUGAUGUUCAUCCUUCCUAAAGCUGUGGGCUCUCUCAAAGAAAAUAACCUAAAAUGAAUAUAAGAUGACCAGUAUUCUGUCAAGGGUAUGAGUUGCUUCAUUGUCCUAAAAUGUUCCAACAAGCUCUAAGAGGAGAUUCUAAAUUAAUAGUUCUUAUAAAGCAGAGACACUCUAUUUUCAAUGGAAUA